CUGAUGCCAGAAGCCACAUCCGAAAUGUUGCACAGCAAAAUACCAGUUAAAUGAAGAUCAAAUCUGAAAGAAUUAUUCAUACUUCCUGUCUCUACUGUCUUCAUUCUCAUUCACUCCUGACUGCAAUAAAGUGAAGACUGAUCUGGGCAACCCUGGGCCGGUUAGCAAACGACUCCAAGCCUCGGUUUCUUCGCUGUAACUUCCACAUGAGGUCAUGCAAGAAAAGCAUCUACCAUAGUCCCUGAAUAAUUAAUAAAAAGAAUGAAAAAAAUUCUAUAAAAAGAAGAAGAAGAAGAA